rnacentral:rRNA from 1 species
GACGAACGCUGGCGGCGUGCUUAACACAUGCAAGUCGAACGGAAAGGCCCUGCUUGCCGGGUACUCGAGUGGCGAACGGGUGUGUAACACGCGGGUGAUCUGCCCUGUACUUCGGGAUAAGCCUGGGAAACUGGGUCUACUACCGGAUCGGGGCCAUUUUUAGUGUGAUGGUUGGAAAGUUUUUUGGGUGUAGGAUGAGCUCGCGGCCUAUCGGCUUGUUGGUGGGGUAAUGGACUACCAAGGCGGCGACGGGUAGCCGGCCUGAGAGGGUGGACGGCCACAUUGGGGCUGAGAUACGGGCCAGACUCCGACGGGAGGCAGCAGUGGGGAAUAUUGCACAAUGGGCGCAAGCCGGAUGCAGCGACGCCGCGUGGGGGAUGACGGCCUUCGGGUUGGAAACUCCUUUCGCUAGGGACGAAGCUUUUUGUGACGGUACCUAGAAAAGAAGCACCGGCUAACUACGUG